rnacentral:rRNA from 1 species
UACGGAGGAUGCAAGCGUUAUCCGGAUUUAUUGGGUUUAAAGGGUGCGCAGGUUGUUUGAUAAGUCAGUGGUGAAAGUCUGUCGCUUAACGGUAGGAUUGCCAUUGAUACUGUUAGACUUGAAUAUGGAUGAGGUAGGCGGAAUGUGUAGUGUAGCGGUGAAAUGCAUAGAUAUUACACAGAACACCGAUUGCGAAGGCAGCUUACUAAUCCAUCAUUGACGCUGAGGCACGAAAGCGUGGGGAUCAAAUA